GACGAACCUUUGAAUUAUUUCUCAAGGUUGACCUCGG
rnacentral:rRNA from 1 species